rnacentral:rRNA from 1 species
CCGUAACUAUAACGGUCCUAAGGUAGCGAAAUUCCUUGUCGGGUAAGUUCCGACCCGCACGAAAGGCGUAAUGAUUUGAGCGCUGUCUCGACAAUGCAUCCGGUGAAAUUGAAGUACCAGUGAAGAUGCUGGUUACCUGCGCCAGGACGGAAAGACCCCAUGGAGCUUUACUCCAGCUUGAUACUGGGAUUCGGUAUUGCAUGUACAGGAUAGGUGGGAGACAAGGAAAUGGUGACGCCAGUUGCCAUGGAGUCAAUGUUGGGAUACCACCCUUGCAGCAUUGGAUUUCUAACCUGCGCCCGUGACCCGGGCGGGGGACAAUGUCAGGCGGGGAGUUUGACUGGGGCGGUCGCCUCCGAAAGGGUAUCGGAGGCGCUCAAAGGUUCCCUCAGAAUGGUUGGAAACCAUUCGAAGAGUGCAAAGGCAGAAGGGAGCUUGACUGCGACACCGACGGGUGGAGCAGGUACGAAAGUAGGACUUAGUGAUCCGGUGGUAUGAAAGUGGGAUUGCCAUCGCUCAACGGAUAAAAGCUACCCUGGGGAUAACAGGCUUAUCACUCCCAAGAGUUCACAUCGACGGAGUGGUUUGGCACCUCGAUGUCGGCUCAUCGCAUCCUGGGGCUGUAGUAGGUCCCAAGGGUUGGGCUGUUCGCCCAUUAAAGCGGUACGCGAGCUGGGUUCAGAACGUCGUGAGACAGUUCGGUCCCUAUCCGGCGUGGGCGUAGGAUAUUUGAGAGGAGCUGUCCUUAGUACGAGAGGACCGGGAUGGACUGACCUCUGGUGUAUCGGUUGUUCCGCCAGGAGCAUGGCCGAGUAGCCAAGUCGGGAAGGGAUAAACGCUGAAGGCAUCUAAGCGUGAAGCCCCCCUCAAGAUGAGAUAUCCCAUCGCGAAAGCGAGUAAGACCCCUUGAAGACGACGAGGUAGAUAGGUUAGAGGUGGAAGUGCAGUAAUGUACGGAGCUGACUAAUACUAAUCGGUCGAGGGCUUAUCCAA